rnacentral:rRNA from 1 species
GAACUGAAGAGUUUGAUCAUGGCUCAGAUUGAACGCUGGCGGCAGGCCUAACACAUGCAAGUCGAGCGGAUGAA